rnacentral:lncRNA from 9 species
GGAGUUUGCUAUUAUUCACUGCUUCCUCAUGGUGUAAGGUCAAUACUACAACAAGUGUUCUGAGAGUGAUUUCCAUUGUUGAAAUUGACCAGAAGCCAGAUAUCAAAAGAUCCUGGAAAAUACAGCCAAUAGGACUAAAGAAUAGAUCUGAGAGGAAAUGAGGUAAGAUUCCUAUAUGGAAUCACUUCUACUUGAUUUUAAAAAAUUUUUACUGAAGUAUAGUUGAUUUACAAUGUUGUAUUAAUUUCAGUAAUUAAUCAUAUCAGUGAAGUCAUCUGUGGCUAUUCUACAGGUAGGUCUGGUCAAUACGGAUGUUUUCUUCCAGUCAUAUUAGUCACUGUGGAGAAAAGCUAAAGCCAAAGCAUAAUAUUGAAAGCUAGAGUCUGUAGUAGGCUGCAUAAAAGCCAUAAAAUACCUGUGAAUUUACCUUGGUAUUACCUUAUGUGGCAAUGGGAUUGCCUUGUGUUUUUAAUUCUGUAUCCUAUAGGUGCUGCUAAUAUCAAUUAAUCACAACUUCCCACAAUCAAGAAAAGGUGCAAUUUUAGUUGAAGGCAAAAUGCUAUGAGUUAUUGGCCACUUAAGUGCUUUCUAGGUAAUCCAUCACCCACAAAAUAAGUCCUAUUUAGAAUUAAAGCCUGUUGCAUGAUAUUAAGCCCACUUUAUACCAGAGCAACACUGAAAGUA